GAUGAACGCUGGCGGCGUGCCUAAUACAUGCAAGUCGAGCGAACGGACGAGAAGCUUGCUUCUCUGAUGUUAGCGGCGGACGGGUGAGUAACACGUGGAUAACCUACCUAUAAGACUGGGAUAACUUCGGGAAACCGGAGCUAAUACCGGAUAAUAUUUUGAACCGCAUGGUUCAAAAGUGAAAGACGGUCUUGCUGUCACUUAUAGAUGGAUCCGCGCUGCAUUAGCUAGUUGGUAAGGUAACGGCUUACCAAGGCAACGAUGCAUAGCCGACCUGAGAGGGUGAUCGGCCACACUGGAACUGAGACACGGUCCAGACUCCUACGGGGGGCAGCAGUAGGGAAUCUUCCGCAAUGGGCGAAAGCCUGACGGAGCAACGCCGCGUGAGUGAUGAAGGUCUUCGGAUCGUAAAACUCUGUUAUUAGGGAAGAACAUAUGUGUAAGUAACUGUGCACAUCUUGACGGUACCUAAUCAGAAAGCCACGGCUAACCACGUG
rnacentral:rRNA from 1 species